CGCUAAAGACCUCUGGUUUUUUCGUUCUUCGGAUCUCUCUCUCUUGCGCUCACUACACCCCCACCAUCAGCACUCAUCUCAAUAUCCCCCCCUAGCGCCGACUGGUUUUUGACAUCUAUCCCGAAAGACAUCCUGUGCUGUGUUAGUCGUGAAUAUUAUUACAGUUUUUUGCGGGCAACACGAUCAACGACUUGAAUUUUUUUUUGGUUCCAAGUUGAAAGUUUCUAGUUUCGAACGGGAAGAAAAGGAAAAAAAAAUCUGUUGGUAUUUUUACAACUGGAAAAAUGUGGACGCUUCAAAGGUCAACGGCUAACAACUCUCAAACGGCAGCCAAAGAGAGUUUGGCCAACAAAAGUUUCACCCUACAACGGUUCUCAAACGUACAGCGCGAUAAUUACCGCUCCGGGCCAACUACAGGACAGGACAUGGUUUCACGACGCCGCAUCUUGUCACGAUCCCGUGACGAUCUCCACUUGGACAACUUCCCUGAAGAGGAGGAUGACGUCUGGCACAUCAAGGAGAAACUCUACAAGGACCACAUCCAAGAGGUUUUGGACAAAUGGCAUCAAAUCGACGACGAGAUCUGGGCCAAGCUCAUCGUCAUGGAACGCAAUCGCCGUGUGGCCAAAGCGUACGCCCGGGCCAUCCCCAUUCAGAUUAACGGAAGCGACGAUGGUUUCGACGGAUUCCGGAUUGGAUUGAACGGAUUCGACAACCCGAUGCGUGACAACCGGACCGAGGAAGCCAAACGUCAGAUCGGCGAAGGCGCCAAGGUCCGCAUGGACGAGAAAGGAAACAUCCACAUCAAGCGCGUUUCCAAGAGUAACAUCUACAUCAAAAACACUUCGGAUGAGAACGGCAUCGGCAAUGAUAUCCUCAAGCUGCCGCAGGGAGCCCUGGAAUUCGGCAAAGGCUACCUGCUGUUCGACAUGAAGAAAUUCCAGCAGAACGUGUCCCGCGAACUGAAACGGGCCUAUCCCGAUCGCCGCAAACUGGAAAUGCAAUGCAUCACGGCCAUCGCCUUUGCCAAGAACGAUAUGGAGCUGCUCAACUGUCCCUGCUGGGUCAUGAUUGUCAACAUUGUGGCCAUGGAUAUGCUCAAAUCCAAGAUGCCACCCGUCAGCAAGCGCUCGGACAUUCGCAAUCGCCCGCGCAUUCCCAUUCCCGAUGAGGACCCGUACAGCGUGGCCGGCAGCGGCUCUAGCGGCAGCUCGUCGCACAAUGGCAACAGCAACAACGGCAACGGAACCAUACCGGCCAACUCGAACGCGGUCAUUGGCACUAAACGUGGCGACAAACCACCCAAACUACCACCUCGCGACAAUGGCAUUUACGGCUCAAACAUUCCAAAACCCGACUACGACGAAAUCGACGAGAAUGGAUACAAAGCCUUCGCUUCAACUCGGCCCAGCAAAGAGAAGCUGUUGUCGACCGACAAAAAAUACGACGAUCCUUACUACUGCGGUCUGCGUGCUCGCGUCUCCAACUUCGUGAAGAACAAGAACACCAAUGAGAAGCCGGUCAAAGAGCUCGGAACCGAGAUCAAAAUGAAGAUGACGCCACAUGUGGGCACAUACCAAGCUGCCCUGUCUCAUGGACACCCCAUGCAGACUCAUCAAAUGUGGCACUCGCGAAGCUUCGACAGCGGAAUGGACACGGCCACGACGAUCAAGACGUACAAGAAAGCUGUGGCAAACAUCCGCACCCUCAGCACGCCGUACAGCUAAAAACGAGAAGUCACUGACGCCACCAUAAAUAUCCUCCUCCUCCUACUCCUAUCCUUUUACUCCUCUUUACCCUUUUUUGAUUUUACCCUUUUUAUUUUUAUUCCAUUCCAAAAUUUUGUUCCUUGUUUUUUUCCCUUACGUUCACUUACCUUAUAUCCAAAAUGACGACAACAGACGACCGCAACCGAGAUGGCAACAUUUCCAACGAAACAGAGCUCACAGACUCGGCUUACUCCCGCAUCUACGGUCGCUUGCCGAUCCCGCGCAGCUAUGUCCCAAUUGCAGCGCCGUCGCGAGCGUCGUACUACGGGGAGUGGAAUUGAUGUCGUUCUGAGCGUCUUUGGUGAUGGGUGCCGUCAUCUCCCUACCGCGUUCAAGCCCGUCUUUAAAUAGUUGGAACGUAGUAGGGAUGUUGUCUGUGAAUGUACAUGACCGUUCUUAAUCUUUUUUUUUAAACCGUCAAUUUUUUUGCUAUAACUUGGACAUUUUUUUCCGUUUUGUUUGUUUUUCUUUUGUUUUCCGCUCGUUUUUAUUUUUCUUUGCAAGUGGGCCUUGGUCUGUCUCUUUUUUCUUUUCUUCAAAAUGUCUCUUCCUUUUUUAAAAAUGGUUCUUCCCAGUUUCACACAGUCUAGAUUAUUUUGUAAGUAUCGAAAUAUUAGUGAGAAAAGCAGACUUGGACAGUUGACCACAUCUGAGCUCUUUCGCUUUUCCUUGUAGAAAGAGUGUAAACCAAACUGUGUGCUAGGAAAACUUUUGUGUGUGCAUGUACGCUCUUCUUUUUUUUUUUAAUUUUCAUUAUUAUUCCUUGUAUGCGUGAGUGUGUGCGUGUGAAUUCGGGUGGCACCGGGUCGUUGGGUGACCUAUAUAAUAAAGAGACCAUUGGACAACAUGUCAAAAAAGCUUCUGUAGCCGAAACAUCCACGAGAGAAUUUAUUUAAUUUUUCAAUCAUAAAAAACAAGGACGAUCAAGAUUUUUUUCUUUUCUUUCCUCUUUUUUUAUUUUUUACUCAGAAAAAAAAAGAAAUUUGUGCAUAAGUGAUUAUUCCAAUUGUUCUAAAUUCUCUCUUUCCACACUUUUUGUAGAAAACGACCUUUCUUUUGUUUUCGUUAUUUUCUGAAUAGCGUAAUCAGAUAAGGUCUUCUUGCGUUUUAAUUUCUUUUCGUUUCCUGUCUCGUUUUGUGUAUUGAGAUGACUGUAUUGGCGUCCCGAAAAUUCGUCCAUCCAACCGUCUCUGUUCUCUGUAAUAUUUUUCUUCCAAUAAGGGCUGGGUUUUUUUAUUUGGAUCGCAUGAGCGGGUUUUACGUUCAUGUGUUUCCACAACGUUGUGUAUUGUAAAUACUGAAAGAAUUUUCCCCUUUUGCUCUGGCCCUCUUUGCAAUUAAUAAAUAUACGGUUGACGGCUUUCCCUUUA
rnacentral:misc_RNA from 1 species